rnacentral:rRNA from 1 species
UACGGAGGGGGCUAGCGUUGUUCGGAAUUACUGGGCGUAAAGCGCGCGUAGGCGGCUUUGUAAGUUAGAGGUGAAAGCCCGAAGCUCAACUCCGGAAUUGCCUUUAAGACUGCAUCGCUAGAAUCAUGGAGAGGUUAGUGGAAUUCCGAGUGUAGAGGUGAAAUUCGUAGAUAUUCGGAAGAACACCAGUGGCGAAGGCGACUAACUGGACAUGUAUUGACGCUGAGGUGCGAAAGCGUGGGGAGCAAACAGG